rnacentral:miRNA from 1 species
AGGUGCACGCCCUAGGUGGGAUUCCAAUAUUGGGCCAAUCCCCCGAAUAUUGGAAUCCCACCUAGAGCGUGCACUU